rnacentral:pre_miRNA from 1 species
ACAGCAACCUUAAUUCCAACAGCAAGAUUUUGCUUUUGGUCUUAGGGUUCUGUUU